UCUCAAGAAGCCACCGUUUUCCCUCUUCGCCGCACCUCGUCCUCCUCCUCCUUAGCGAACUCGAGGACCGUUCUCCGAUGCCUCACGUGUCGGAUCGUCGAGCCCUGACGACGGUGGUGGCCAUGGAGGUCGCAAGAAACGGUAUGGUUGGCUGAACACCUCCCGACACUCGAAUCCCUAGCCUCCGAUGGCUCCCGUUGCUGAUCGUAGAUAUCUAUAUCUCGCUGCGCGGUUGCUCGAUCAGGUCUUCCACGAAGUGGAGGUGAUCGUGAAACGGUACGAGAUUCGUCGCCUUCUAAAGGCCUGGUUGAAACCCUCGUGGCCCGAACCGCAGAUGGGCCCAAGUGUUUGGAUCAUCGAGCCGUAGGGGUGGUGGCUACUUGAUCAGGUGCAUUGUCUCUCCCAAUCUAGAUGUGGAUCUGUUGUUGUUUUCUUGGGUGCUUUAUGGUUCUGCGAUGUUAUUGGGGCUGUUCUUUAAGUAUUGCGUUCGACGCAUUCUAAAGGCCCCCAACCUCAGAUGGCCCACGUUUUGGAUCAUCGAGCUGUAGGGAUAGCGGCUACUUGAUCAGUUCUUGUGUUUUCGCCGCCUUCUAGAGGCCUCCAACCGCAGAUGGCAUACGUUUUGGAUCAUUGAGCUGUAGCGAUGGCGACUGCUUGAUCAGUGGAGGUCGCCAAGAAACGCCAUGGCAAACCAAACACUGCUGUUCUUCACGGAGGCCUGCAUCUGUUGCUGGGACGUGAAUUCUGCACGCCAGGUGUUUGAAGAGAUGCCCAAAUCGGAUGGCUGUGCUGGUGAGUCUCCUACGGGAUUUUGUUGAAGGUAAUUGUAGCUUUGUAGUUUUAUCGCUUGGUAAUCUAUUAUUAUGAUGCUAUUAUGGAGUCAUGUUUUAUAAAGAAGACUUCCCAAUCAUGAAUAGGAAAGGUCUAAUGUGCUCCAUAGAAUUGGAAGACUUAACGAUUAGGAUAGUUGUAAUAAGUUCUUUAUGUUCACGAAAUCAAUAUUAGAGAGACGUGUUUCUUCCUUGC